UGGUAUUACGCCGGAUGAACGGAGAUCAUUGAUGUUGAUUAUAUAAGAUAAAAUGAAUCUUUAAUGCUAU
rnacentral:tRNA from 1 species